rnacentral:tRNA from 2 species
GCAUCAGUAGCUCAGCGUCAGAGCACCGGUCUUGUAAGCCGGGCGUCGGAGGUUAAAAUCCUCCCUUUUGCU